GACGAACGCUGGCGGCGUGCUUAACACAUGCAAGUCGAACGAUGAACCCGGAGCUUGCUCCGGCGGAUUAGUUGCGAACGGGUGAGUAACACGUGAGUAACCUGCCCUUGACUCUGGGAUAACUGCUAGAAAUGGUAGCUAAUACCGGAUACGACCCUCGGCGGCAUCGCCAGGGGGUGGAAAGAAUUUCGGUCAAGGAUGGACUCGCGGCCUAUCAGCUAGUUGGUGAGGUAACGCCUCACCAAGGCGACGACGGGUAGCCGGCCUGAGAGGGUGACCGGCCACACUGGGACUGAGACACGGCCCAGACUCCUACGGGAGGCAGCAGUGGGGAAUAUUGCACAAUGGGCGCAAGGCUGAUGCAGCAACGCCGCGUGAGGGAUGACGGCCUUCGGGUUGUAAACCUCUUUUAGUAGGGAAGAAGCGAAAGUGACGGUACCUGCAGAAAAAGCACCGGCUAACUACGUGCCAGCCGCCGCCGUAA
rnacentral:rRNA from 1 species